ACGGAGGAUGCGAGCGUUAUCCGGAUUUAUUGGGUUUAAAGGGUGCGUAGGCGGAAUAAUAAGUCAGUGGUGAAACCCUGCAGCUUAACUGUAGACUUGCCAUUGAUACUGUUUUUCUUGAGUAUGGUCAAGGCAGGCGGAAUGUGUAAUGUAGCGGUGAAAUGCUUAGAUAUUACACAGAACACCGAUAGCGAAGGCAGCUUGCUGGGCCGUUACUGACGCUGAUGCACGAAAGCGUGGGGAUCGAACAG
rnacentral:rRNA from 1 species